AUGGGCAACCUUUUUCUAUAUGUUGCUCUUGAGCCGCCAAGUACCAGUCUCGCAACAGUACUGGCGUUCAAGGAUCGACCCUUCACUUGCGGAUCGUUCGCGAGUCGAACUCACUCUCUUGCCACACCUUUGAUUCACGAACUCGAGUCGGACUCAUUCACUGCUGACUUUUUUGAGGAUCAUUCGUUCUUCACUCUCUUGCUAUUACCCGCAGGGAGUGCAGCAACCGAUGGUGCAUAUUAUCAUAUAGAAAGAAGCGAAGCAUAG
rnacentral:rRNA from 1 species